CAAGGCCUUUUAUAUCUUAUGGUAUGGGUUUGCUCAUAGUCGAAGGCGGUAUGAUGAGCUAUAGUUGUUAAUUUCAGUGCCUUUUGUUUCUUUUGGAGAGUUGUCUCAAUGGCAAUCAUACCACAUCUCCUUUUAUACUUACAAAAUAUAAAAUACAAAAUAGUUAUGCAUCAUUUGUUUGAGCACGUGAGUGAAAUAUUGCCUUUGGGAAUAACACAAUAUUUUUUGCCUUUAACAUUCACAUUUACUAGUGCCACUACCCCUAAUUGUACUUUGAAAGAGAAACCCUGACUACCAUUUCUUUUGAAAGUUUUUUACAGCUUCACAUAGUGAAAGUUGAGGAUGAGAAACUGUUGCUGUAAAUAAAGAUGUGUUUUAACAACUUCAAUUUAAUUUCUCGUCAACUAUCUUUUUAAAGAUCCAACAGCUGUUCCGAUGUGGUACCCACAUUCUCCAUAUUCAAUAAUUUCACA
rnacentral:lncRNA from 1 species